UUCAUUGUAGAAUGACUGCUAAUUAAUAGUCAAUGGAAACCUAGCAAAGUGUUCAUUUAUAUCACAUGAUGUUAAUGUAAACAUUGAACUAUAAUCUUUGAGUUUUGCUCUAUUCACGGCUGCAAGUAAAUAGGUUAAUCUAGGUAUAUGUUUGCCAAGCCUUUAGGUGUUCAGAGUGAAGAAAAUUUACAAGGACCGAAACGAGAAAAUAUCCCUGAGUGAAAAAGCAGUUAACUUUUUGAUGGGGUGAAAAGAAGUCCACAUAUGUCAACCUCAGACAUACUGAAUUUUCAGUCUGCUCGCCACGAAGAAUGAUGCUCUCUUUCUGGCUCGGUGCACAAUACAAUCUGUUACACAUGGAUACCAGCAAUAAUACACGGGGGGCUCUGGUGUAGGAGACAGUAAGCUCUGUGCUCAUCCGCUUUCCGAGUCUCAUCCCGCAACAUGGAGUUCCUGCUCACGCUGUGGCCACCAUCAUCGGCAAUUAACACAAAGGAGAAUUCUGAAGAGUUCACAAACAAGAAUCUCGUUCUACUCUGGAAUUUAGGUGCACCUUGACUUCUGCGGAUUCUAACUGGUUUGGAUGCUGAAAUUUGAACUUUGCUUCAAGCCAGAAGGCUAAACGAGCAAGCCCAGUAACUAUAUGCUGCUCUCUAGGAUUGCCUGAAGAUGUCUAAUUCAAGUUGCUGGACUGUUUCAAUCACUUAGAUGCACCGAACCCCCUCAAACAGACCCGUAUAGCCAAAUUUCUGAUGCUAGAUUUGGAGGAGUGAAACAUAUUUCUGCAUUUCUGAAAGCAUUCAAAGGAAGGAACGGGAAAAUGCUGCAUUCUAUUAGUAGGUGUGUACAUGUGCAGAUUCUUUAUUGUGUGAAUUUUUAAAUUGGUCCUCGCUGUGGGCUCAUUUUCUUUUGGGUAUGAAUGUGCUCAGGUUUCUCCACUCUUGAAAUAGCAUCAAAAUAAAAAUAGAAAUUAAAAAUCCUCUGUUUCCACCAAAUAUUUCUUUCUAGCUGCAGCGCUACC
rnacentral:lncRNA from 1 species